UACCCCAUGCGUGGGCAAAGAGACACCUUGGUGGAUGAUGGUGUUCUCAUGUCAGGCAGGGGCACAGCAGAUGGCAGUCCUUUGUUCAUCCUAGCUUGAUGCCAGGCUUGGUAACCAAAUCUGUUUUAUGCCUAGGACACAUAC